rnacentral:lncRNA from 1 species
CAAAGCCAGCCUCAGCAACUUAGUGAGACCCUAAGAAACUCAGCGAGAUCUUGUCUCUAAAUAAAAAUUCAAAAAGGGCUGGGGAUGUGGCUUAAUGGUUAAGCACCCCUGGGUUCAAUCCCUAGUACCCUCCCCCCAAAAAAGAUGGAAGAACAUCCAUGUCGUCAUCUCAGUGGCUGCAGAAAAAGCUAUUCACAGAACCCAACAUCAGGCACAUUUAGAAAAACACUCCGAGAACCAAGAUCAGAAGGGAGCUUCCUCCGCUGCCAAGGGACAUCCGCAGAACCCCUGAAACAGCCCAGACAGCAAGAGGAGUCUCUUCUGCAGAAGUGGUGCAGGAGUCCCUCCUGUUCCCAGCCAUGGGCAGCACUCACCUGGGCCAAGGGGCAAAGACAGACGCGCCCAGAGACGUGGGAAGGAAGAAACAGACGUGUUCCCUGGGAAGGACAUGGAAGACCUACAGCCGAACACUUAGUGCAACGAGACGCUAACAAGAUGGUACACACACAGAUGAUGUCUGUACUCUAGCAACAAGUGUGUCACCUAGAAAUGACACUGUGACAAUAGCAACAAAAGUAUGGACUUAAAAUAAAUCCAAAAAGGAGAAUAGGCUCUUUUGAGGAGAAAAACUUUGUGAAAAUCAAUGAGAAAGCUUGUGAUUGUCCAGACACCGAUCAAUGCACCAGAAGCCUCCACAUUCUAGAGGCUGCUUCCCCUCCGCUACCUGCA